rnacentral:snRNA from 1 species
GGAUGUGAGAACAAUCUGGGAGUGACAUCUGUCACCCCAUUGAUUGCCAGGGUUGGUUUGGCUGAUCUGGCUGGCUAGGCUCCUGCCCACUUCCUCCCCCACUACUCCAUGUGCUUCCCUCUGGAGAAACUUCCUCAAACAGAGGCAGACUGGUCUUUGGUCAAGGGUAUAAGAGUAACUGCAUUCCCCAUCUAGAAAUUGCAAGCGACCUUGUAAAAAUACUUUUUAUCCUUAUCAUUCAGUAGGUAAAACCGGAUAAACCAAUAUUAGUUUAUUUCCAACAUAAACCUUUU